rnacentral:rRNA from 1 species
AAAGCCUCUAGCGAGUGUCAUUAUGGCCCGUACCCUAAACCGACACAGGUAGUCAGGUAGAGAAUACUAAGGCGAUCGGGUGAACUGUGGUUAAGGAACUCGGCAAAAUGCCCCGUAACUUCGGGAGAAGGGGGACCAUUGUUGGUGACAGACUGAUGGAGCUGACGGUGGUCGCAGAGAAUAGAGGGAAGCGACUGUUUAUUAAAAACACAGUCCGUGCGAAAACGUGGAAGUUGA